UCUAAGUAUAAGUAAAAGGCGAAACUGCGAAUGGCUCAUUAAAACAGUUAUAUUAUUUGAUAAUUUAUAUGGAUAACCGUGGGAAACUAGAGCUAAUACAUGCAUAGUGCCGUAUUUAUUAGUUUGAUGAAUCAUAAUAACUGAUCGGAUCGCACGCGAUAAAUCUUUCAAGUUUCUGCCCUAUCAGCGACGGUAGUGUAUUGGACUACCGUGGCUAUCACGGGUAACGGAGAAUUAGGGUUCGAUUCCGGAGAGGGAGCCUGAGAAACGGCUACCACAUCUAAGGUAGGCAGCAGGCGCGUAAAUUACCCAAUCUUGACUCAGGGAGGUAGUUACGAGGAAUAUGAAGCCACUAUUGGAGGGCAAGUCGGUGCCAGCAGCCGCGGUAAUUCCAGCUCCAAAAGUGUAUCUUAAUGUUGUUGCAGUUAAAAAGCUCGUAGUUGAACUUCUGCGUCAUCCGCUUGGAAAAGGCAUUUUACUUUGAAGAAAUUAGAGUGUUCCAGGCAGGCCUUUGCUUGAAUAUAUCAGCAUGGAAUAAUGGAAUAGGAUUUGGUUAAUGAUUAACAGGGACAGUUGGGGGCAUUCGUAUUCAUUUGUCAGAGGUGAAAUUCUUGGAUUAGGUGAAGACGAACUAAUGCGAAAGCAUUUGCCAAGGAUGUUUUCAUUAAUCAAGAACGAAAGUUAGGGGAUCAAAGACGAUUAGAUACCGUCGUAGUCCUAACUAUAAACUAUACCGACUAGGGAUUGGCAGCCCUGUCAGCACCUAAAGAGAAAUCAAAGUCUUUGGGUUCUGGGGGGAGUAUGGUCGCAAGGCUGAAACUUAAAGGAAUUGACGGAAGGGCACCACCAGGAGUGGAGCCUGCGGCUCAAUUUGAUUCAACACGGGGAAACUUACCAGGGCCAGACCUUUGUAGGAUUGACAGAUUGAUAGCUCUUUCUUGAUUAGAGGGAUGGUGGUGCAUGGCCGUUCUUAGUUGGUGGAGUGAUUUGUCAGGUUAAUUCCCUUAACGAACGAGACCUUAACCUACUAAAUCUUCUUAGAGGGACUAAACACAUGGAAGUUUGAGGCAAUAACAGGUCCGUGAUGCCCUUAUAUGUCCUGGGCCGCACGCGCGCUACACUGACGCACGCAACAACCUAACCCGAAAGGGGAUGGGUAAUCUUUAAAAUGCGUCGUGCUAGGGAUUGAUCUUUGCAAUUCUGGAUCAUGAACGAGGAAUUCCUAGUAAUGUUGUGUCAUCAACGCGACAUGAUUAAGUCACUGCUCUUUGUACACACCGCCCGUCGCUCCUACCGAGAGUGAUCCGGUGAACUUUUUGGACUAGGGAAGUUAAGCAAAUCUUAUCACUUAGAGGAAGGAGAAGUCGUAACAAGGUU
rnacentral:rRNA from 1 species